GCCUUUGUAGCUCAGUGGAUAGAGCGAUCACCUCCAAAGGGAUAGGUCGCAGGUCCGAUUCCUGCCAAGGGCACCA
rnacentral:tRNA from 1 species